CACUGUGAAAAUAUAACCAAUGCUUGGUUCUGUUUGUGACACAGUGGUGACAGCUUCGUCAUUGGGACAAAACUGAGAAUUUGUAGAAGCUGCAGGACAACAGCUUGUGAGUUUCCAGGAGUGUGAGCCUUGUUAGUAAGAAGCUGAAAUGCACCAGGAGAAAAGCGUCUUCAAAUCUUUGGAUUCCUUCGCAUUAUCAAAAUCGACAUGAAGAAAAUCUAGAUUUCAGUUUAUUGGAUUUUAAGCUUGCGGGAACAUACUCAAGAUGGCCUGCCUCGGCCAUAGCCUUCAUCCUACAUGUCGAGUCUGUGCAGGGGCCGGUCACACCCGCACUCACACAGACCCUUGCCUGGGUGCAGGACUCAGGUUGGUUAUUCCUUAGAAACAGGCCAGGAACAUUGUUCUACUCAGCUCUGCUUCCACCAGCACCAACACUGGUCCAUAACCCCCUCCGCCAGGAGUUGUCUCUAGUCCCUAUUAUGAGUACCUGUGGCAUUUGGCUUUGGUGGCCACCUUUUUAUUGGCAGUUGACUCCUGCCUCACUUCAUGGCUACCCCUCCCUCAGAGCAAAGCUCACCCACCUUUGAUGGGAGUCUAAGGAUGUUCAUGACCAACCCCUUACCCACCCACCACUUCCCUCCCCUGAGGCCCGGCCCGGAAUCUCACCACUGCAGACCACGCCUCUGCCCACCCAUUCAGCUUAGCCAGUGACAUUUCCUCUAUACAGUGUCCAACUCUUCAAGGAGGUGGCCAGGAGAGAAGAUCGGGCCCCAAGGAAAGGAGGUCAUGGCCAGUGUUGAUUCUUUAAAACCAGUUUCCCAUCAGCUCUGUGGGAGUUUCCCAGGGGCUCCAUUGGCCCUAAAUCGACGCACAUUCACACCCUUUCCCUGGGCCUGUCUGAUGGCCCAGCCCAGCCAGCCCCAGCAAAUUCUUUGCAUGCUUAUGGUUGAACCUCACGUUCUGUGCUUGGCAAGUGUCGUCUGGUACUGUUAGCUCUGCGUGUGUUUCUGCUUUACAGUUGACUCCAGGGAAAUCUCCAUGUUGAGUGCCAGGCAACCCUUAACCCAGGCAAAGCCUCAACAUACCCCUCAGGACAAUCCCGUAAGGCAGAGAAUGGUAGCUCCACCAUGUGGUGACGAAACCAAAGCUCAGGGGCUAAUCAAACCUGCCUGGUCACUCAGCCAGUGAGCAGCAGAGCUGGGAGUAUCCAGCCUCUUCCUUUAGAAUCCCAUGGGUUUUUACUUCAAAUCUCACUGCCUGUGGCCUUCUGGGGACAAGGACUAUGUCUGCCAUUCUAAACCUCCCAGGGCCAGUUCCAUUCAUCCUGCCCAUGAGCCCUGCUACUAUCAUCAAGGAACAGUUAUGAACAUGUUCACAGGUUACUGGCUGUGUGUGUUGGCGCCAGUCAUCUAGUAUCUCUAAGCCUCUGUUUACUCCUCUGAAGACUGAAUGAUAAAUAAUACCCAUCAUAAGAUUGUUGCUAAAUUAUAACAUGUUGAGCACUUGGCACAGUACCCAGCACAUAGUAACUUCUCAAGAAACUUUAGUGACCUUUAUGAAGAGCAAUUAGUUACUUAGACUUGAAAAACUCCAUAAACUCUCUGAGUCUCAGUGUUUUCAACAGAUAGAUUGAGAAUGAAUACCUGUUCUGGCCAUGUUAUGGGGCAUCGAGGCAAAUGAUGUAAGACGGAGUGUUCAGAUGCAGGCAAGUGCUUUAUUACUAGAAGCUAUUGGACACUGGAGCGGAGUUCUGGUGCUUGGAUAAGGUCUAAUACUAUAUUUUAAAUAACUUAGAAUUUGAGUUUUUCAUUCUUAGCUUUCCCAUCUGCCAUCUUUGCAUAGUACCUGAGCAUUCAAACAAGCCUACAUCCUCUUUACAUUCUCAAUAACAGCACCCUCUUCACCCUGCAAUGGUCUAAAGAUUGAGAUCCCUGAAGAUAUGCCAACUAACAGCACUGAGAACUGAGAGGAUCACACAGCAGCUAUGUGCAGGGUUCAGCAUCAAACUGUCUGGGCUGAAGUUCCAGCUCUACCAAUAAGCAGCUGCAUACCUAAUGACAACUUGUUUAAUUUCCCCAACCCUAAUUUCCAUUUCUAUAAAAGGAAUAAAUAAUAAUACCUACCUCAAAAGAUUAUUAUGGAAUUCCCAUAGAAUAAGACCUGGCAUGAUACAAAAUGAGUCCUCAGACAUUAGCUUUUAUUAAUGAAGUGGCUGCCAAGUAAUAAGAACCUACUAUUUACCCGGCCCUGAGCAAGCGUACUAUGUGAUUUCUUUCUUGAUUCCUUAC
rnacentral:lncRNA from 1 species